rnacentral:rRNA from 1 species
UACAGAGGGGGCAAGCGUUGUUCGGAAUUACUGGGCGUAAAGGGCGCGUAGGCGGCCUGUUAAGUCGAACGUGAAAUCCCCGGGCUCAACCCGGGAACUGCGUCCGAUACUGGCAGGCUUGAAUUCGGGAGAGGGAUGUGGAAUUCCAGGUGUAGCGGUGAAAUGCGUAGAUAUCAGGAGGAACACCUGUGGUGUAGACAGCUUACUGGACCAUCACUGACGCUGAGACACGAAAGCGUGGGUAGCAAACAGG